rnacentral:rRNA from 1 species
UUCCAGACUCCUACGGGAGGCAGCAAUGGGGAAUAUUGCACAAUGGGGGAAACCCUGAUGCAGCGACGCCGCGUGAGUGAAGAAGUAUUUCGGUAUGUAAAGCUCUAUCAGCAGGAACGAGACAAGACGGUACCUGACUAAGAAGCCCCGGCUAACUACGUGCCAGCAGCCGCGGUAAUACGUAGGGGGCAAGCGUUAUCCGGAAUCACUGGGUGUAAAGGGAGCGUAGACGGCUGUGCAAGCCUGAAGUGAAAGGCGGGGGCCCAACCCCUGGACUGCUUUGGGAACUGUACGGCUGGAGUGCAGGAGAGGUAAGUGGAAUUCCUAGUGUAGCGGUGAAAUGCGUAGAUAUUAGGAGGAACACCAGUGGCGAAGGCGGCCUGCUGGACGGUGUACUGACGCUGAGGCUCGAAAGCGUGGGGAGCAAACAGGAUUAGAUACCCCAGUA